CCCCUCCCCCUACAUGCCGUGUUGCUAGGAUACGUGCCAGAUGCCUGGCUUCAGAAUUAAGCCCACCGUAGCUGCAAAUGGCUAAUUAUGUUUUUAAAGAUUGUAGCUAUCCAUUUUUAUUAAUUCAACGUAAUUGACUAAUUCUAGAGAGGGAGUGUAACUUGUAUUUAUACAAUUGUUCCAGACUGAAGCAGGGAUUGUGGGGAGGUGCCCACUUUGGCCGGCAUGAGGCUUCAAAGGAUAUCGAGGCAACGAAGGAAAUAGAGCCCACCCUAUUCCAGGAAGUUAUAGCUGAGGAAGAGCAAUGCACCAAAAAUAGUUUCAGGUGCUCAUACUCAAUGAGGUGCAAGUUCCAAGGAUAUCAGUUACGCACAGUUCUUAACCGUGCUGCACAAAGGAGCCCACACCUUAGACUAUGCUGGAUACUGCUCCACCCAGGCCACUCUCAUAUCGAGUAUACACUGAGACUUUGUAUGGAAUCCAGGGCUGCAGAACACCUGUGGAAAAAGCAAGCUCAUCAUGAUGUCUGCAACUAUCUCUAGUUGCUUACGGACUAAAUCAGGAAUGAAUCAGCACAAAUGGAUAUACAUAAACUCAACACAGCUACUAUCAUUGAUAGCCAAGAUACCCAAUGAUACUGGAAAUAUCACUAAUGUUGUAGAUCAUGAUGUUAUUUUCAGAUUGUAUUGGAUCUCCUUCCCCUCUGCCAUCCAACUGCUGAAUGGAUGUUUGACCUACGAAUACUACCACGCUGCUUUAUAUUUAAAUUAUAUACUUACAGUAAUUCAUGUCUUUUUUCCCUUCUAUUAUUAUGUAUUGCAUUGUACUGUUGCCACAAAGACCAACAAAUUUCACAACAUAUGCUGGUGAUAUUAAACCUGAUUCUAUAGUACAAAUUUAUCUCUAUAUUCUCACUUCAAGUACUUACAGGUGAAGUUCACCACAGUUCAGAUACACAGUAAAUGUCCCUCUACAUUAUCCAAACAAACUCUCCUAUUGGAAGUUGCAGCAUGAGUUAAAUAUUUAUUUUUCAGCAUGUGAGUAUCAUGUGCAACACCAGCAUUUAUAUCCCAUAAUUAAUUGAUCCUGGAUUUACAAACUUCCUCAGAUAUUCAUGAGUCACAUACAGGUCAGACUAGUUAUGAACAGCACAUUUUCUCUCCUAAAGGACAGAUGUGUUUUUACAUCAAUCUGGUGAUUUGUGAACUUAAUUACCACAGUCCUGGAAUUAUGCUCCUCCUAUUAGAGGUGGGAUAUCAGGGAGAAGUCCAGUACCCUUGUUGACUAUCUUUGCAGGAAGUAUGUCUAGCUGCAGCACCUUUCAGUCAGCAUAGCUCUCCUGGAGUUGUAUGAGAGGAUUUCCAGUAGUCAGGGGAAUCAGAAGAGCAGAUAUGUAGACAGAUCACAGAAGAGUGUAAAAGCAAUAGGGCUGUAGUAGUGUUAGAUUUGAUCUUUCCAAAUAUUGUCUGGAAUUGCCUUAGUGGAGAGUGGAAUUCAUAAUGUGCAUUGAAGAGUUUUCAUUUGAAGCAGUAUAUACGAAGUCCUACAAUGGAGGGGGUUAUGCUACAUUUAAUCUUUGGGAAUGAGGAUGAGUAAGUAAUAGAAGAGUCUGUAGAGAUUUUUGUUUGGAAACAGUGACCGUAGUCCUGUAAGGUUAAAAGUAGUCAGGAGAAAAUAUAUGGCUGAGGUAGCACCCUAAACUGGAUUGGGGAAGGGAGUCAGAUUUCAAUAAUUGAGGAUCUUAUAGAAGUAAUGCACACAAAAUGCUGCAGGAAUUCAGCAGGCCAGGCAGCAUCUAUCAAGAGUAAACAGUUGACAUUUCAGGCUGAGAACCUGCAUCAGGACUGAAGGGUUCUGGCCUGAAACGUUGACUGUUUACUCUUUUCUACAGAUACUGUCUGGCCUGCUGAGUUCCUCCAACAUUUUGCAUGUAUUGCUUAGAUUUCCAGCAUCUGCAGAUUUUCUCUUGUUCAGGAUCUGAUAGAAGUAGCUACCAUAGGUGAAAACACUAUCUCAUAAGUGGGAGGUAUUUGAAAGUGACCUAAUAAGAACUAAGACUCAUCAUUGUCCCUGUAAGGUGAGAAGCAAAGAUAGCAAGUUUGGGGACCUUUGCUAACAAUAUUGAGUCAAUAAUGAAAAAGAAGUAAGCAUAUGUCAAGUAUUGGAAAUUGGUAUUGAGCAAUUCCUUUGAGAUUUGUAGAGGAUGUAGGAGAAAAAUUAGUAUGGCAAAAAGGGGUCUUAAAUGACAUUGGCAAGCAAACUUAAGGAGAAUCCUAAAACCCUCUUACAAGUAUUAGCAGAUACUAGCUACCUCCUAGGUAGAUAAAAGGUACCAAAGGGAUAAUACAUGUGUGAAGCCAGCAGAUAUGCGGAAAUUAUAAUUGAAUACUUAUCAGUAUUCACCAGGAGAAGGAUGUAGAGGCUUUAGAGUUAAAGGGAAGGGUACGGUCAUAUUCUGAGCAUAUACAUUCACUGCCACUUUGUUAUGUACCUCUGCUCAUUAAUAUAAAUAUCUAAUCAACCAAUCAUGUGGCAGCAACUCAAUGCAUAAAAGUAUGCAGACAUGGUCAAGAAGAUCAGUUGUUAUUCAGACCCAGCUUCAGAAUGGAGAAGAAGUGUAAUUUGAGUGACUUUGACCAUUGGAAUGAUUGUUGAUGCGAGCCAGGUUGGUUUGAGUAUCUCGGAAACUGCUGGUCUCCUGGUAUUUUCACACUCGGCAGUCUCCAGAGACUUCAGAGAAUGGUGCAAGAAAUUAAAAAAAAAAUUUGGUGAGCAGCAGUUCUGUGGGUGAAAAUGCUUUGUUAAUGAAAGAGGUCAGAGGAGAACUGCCAGAUUGGUUCAAGCUAACAGCAAGAUAUCAGUAACUCAAGUAACUAUAAACGUAUAAUGUGCAGAAGAGCAUCUCUGAAUGUACAAUUCAUCAAACCUUGAAGUGGAUGGGAUGAAGCAACUGAAGACGUUGAACAUAAAUUGGCUACUUUAUUAGGUAGAGGAGGUAUAUCUGUAUCAGGAAGGAGAAACUGUUAUAAAUAUAGGCAUUCAUCAGGGCAGAUAAAUGCCCAGUACCUAAUGUGAUCUAUCCCGGGAUGCUAAGGGAAACACAACAGAAGAUUGCUGGGACUCUUGACAGAGAACGUUGCAUUUCCAUUAGUCAUGGUCGGUACCAGAUUACUAGAGGAUAACAUGUUGUCCUUUUGUUCAAAGAGCAUGGUGGGGAUAAGCCAGCAGUAGGAAAGUUCUUGGAGAAGAUCCUGAGGGAUAGGAUUUAGAGUGUGCUUAGGCAUGGGCUGAUUAGGAAUAGGCAGCAUGAUUUUGACAUGGUAGGGGAAAUCUUGUCUCACAAAUUGGAUUGAGGCUUUUGAGGAGGUAACAAGAAAAUUGAUGAAGGCAGCACAGUGGACUUGAUUUUUGUGGACUUCAGAAAGGCUUUUGACAAGGUCCCACAUGGUAGGUUGGUCUAGAAUGUUAAGGCACAAAGGAUCCAAGGAUUAUUGGCAAAUUGGAUCCAGGAUUUGCUUGGUGAUAGGAGGUCAAGGAUAGUGAUAUAUGUAAAACUUGGAUAAGAAUAUAAGUGGUCUAAUUAGUGACUUUGUAAACAAUAUGAAAAUUAGUGCAGUUGUAGAUGGUAAAGAAGUUCACUUUAGGAGGCAGCAGAAUGUGGAUGAAUUAGAAAGUGUGGUGGAGCCAUGGCAGAUGGUAAUUAAUCUGAACAUUGUUAGAUAAUGCACUCUGAACUUAAAAAAUGUCUAAUCUGUAAAUAUCUAAAAAAAUGAAAUCUCGGCAAGUUAUAUCUGUUGGAUAAUUGUUCAAAAGACAUGAAACAAUUAUCUAAAAAUAAAUCAGAAAAUCUUAGUAAUCCCUUAGUUUUCCAAGCUGAAUAAGCUUGAUCUAUAAUGGAAGGGUGAAAAAAACAAUUAGAUACAAUAGGACUAUUUAAAACGAAUUGAGUCAACCCAAAAAAUCUCCGAAAUUGAAACCAUAUACGUAAUGUAUGUUUAACUAUUGGGUUGUCAAUUCGUUUCGGCAAUUUCAGGGCUUAUUUCAAAACUUUAUAAUAUAAUUAUGAAGAUACAUUCAGAGCCCCUUUAUAAGACUAAACAGGAUUGGGAAAGAGAGCUUAGUUUUAGUAUUUCUAGUGAGAAUUGGGAUAGAAUUCUUCAAUUAGUUAAUACAUCAUCGUUAUGUGCCAAACAUUCACUAAUACAAUUUAAGGUUGUACAUAGGGCCCAUAUGUCCAAGGAUAAAUUAGCUCAUUUUUACUCUCAUAUAAGUCCUAUUUGUGAUAGAUGUCAUUCUGAAAUUGCGUCUUUAACUCACAUGUUUUGGUCGUGUUCAUUUUUGGAGAAAUAUUGGAAAGAUAUUUUUGAUAUUAUUUCUGCGGUUUUGAAUAUUGAUUUACAACCUCAUCCUAUUACCGCAAUUUUUGGUUUACCAAUGUUAGAUUCACAGCAUUUAUCUUCUUCAGCCCGUCGAAUGAUUGCAUUUCUAACUCUGAUGACUAGAAGAUCUAUAUUGUUGAAUUGGAAAGAAAUUGAUCCUCCCACUGUAUUUAAUUGGUUCUCUCAAACUAUGUUAUGUUUAAACUUAGAAAAAAUUAGAAGUGGUACUUUUGAGACUUCUAUUAAAUUUGAAAAGUUAUGGAGACCAUUUAUUCAACAUUUUCAUAUGAUGUAAUAUGACCCUGUGCCAAGUACAUUUGAUUUCCUAGCUUUUAGCUUAUGUAUUUUGAGAGGACCGGAAGUGACGGCAUUGAUGAAUACUUAUUUUUGUGAGAUAUUAUAAACAGCCCACUUUUUUUUUCUCCUUCUCUUUUGUUUGUUUUUCUUUCUUUUAUAUUACUUAUUAGUUAUAGUUAUUAGAUUAGAUUAGUUAGUUUUGCAUUAUAUAAUUUUUUUUUGUUUUUUUUUUCUUUCUUUUUUCUGUUUUUUUUAUAUUAUACAUUAUGAAAUAUUUAGAUUUACUAUGUCCAUACAUAUAUCUUAUGGCUUAUGUCUUGGUAAACUCAUUUAUAUUGUAACUAUUAUGUAUGUUUUUUUUUCAUAUGUAAUGGAAUGUGUAUGUUGGUAAUUUCUUUAUCAAUAUAUCAUCUGUAUUCUGUCCAUAUUACUAAUAUUAAUAAAAAGAUUUAGAAAGAAAAGAAAAAGAAAAGAUAAUGCACUCUGGGAAGUCUAAUUCUUGACAUAAUACAGCAACCUUAAGAGGGACCUUUUACUGGAAGUUCCUAGUCCAUGAAAAUGAAAACAGGGUAGAUAUAGUAGUGAAAAAUGGCUGAAGUAUGCAGUAUUAAAGUUGGGAUAUCAUGUUGUAGCUCUAAAGUACAUUGGUCAGACCACAUUUGGAGUAUUGUGUACAGUUCUCCCAGUUGUAACACCACAGGAAGUAUAUAUGUUAGCAAUAGAGAGAUUGUCGAAGAGAUUCACCAGGGUAUCCUUUGAAAUAGAGGCUGUGAUAAGGAGAAAUUGGAUAGACUGAGUCUGCUUUCCCUGGACUGAAGUAGGCAGAGUGUGUCCUUACAAAGGUUUAUGAAUUUAUAAGGGGCAUGGACAGGACAGAUAGCCAGAGUAUUUUACCUAGUGCAUGAGAGUAUAGAAGUGGAGGGUAAAGGUUUAAGGCAAAACAGAAGUUUAAGGGAGAUCUAAGAGGUAGAUUUUUACACACAGAGGACGGUGGUUAUCUGGAAUAAGCUGCCAGAGGAAGUGGUACAGGCAGAUACUGUAUAGGAUGUUUGGACAGGUACCUAGAAGGAAAGGUUUGGAGGGAUACCGGCUUAAAUACAGGUAAAUGAGAUUAGUGUAGAUGGGUAUAACAGUCAGCAUGGAUGAAGUAGGCUGAAGGGGCUCACCAUGUUGUAUGGUUCUACUAAUUAUUUUUUUAAAUUACAGAUUUUUUUACUGUAUAUAAAAACUUUUGGGAUUCAAAUUUGGGUCUUUUGAUUGAUAAUUUAGUUACAGUACUCAUCUAGUAAUCUCCGAAUCACCACCAUAUUCUAUGAACAAAC